rnacentral:rRNA from 1 species
GAUCCUGGCUCAGGACGAACGCUGGCGGCGUGCCUAAUACAUGCAAGUAGAACGCUGAAGGAGGAGCUUACUUCUCCGGAUGAGUUGCGAACGGGUGAGUAACGCGUAGGUAACCUGCCUGGUAGCGGGGGAUAACUAUUGGAAACGAUAGCUAAUACCGCAUAACAGUAGAUAUUGCAUGAUAUCUGCUUGAAAGGUGCAAUUGCAUCACUACCAGAUGGACCUGCGUUG